UCUUGAAACACGGACCAAGGAGUCUAGCGUGUGCGCGAGUCAUUGGGUGUUAAAACCUAAAGGCGCAAUGAAAGUGUCAGGGGGCGCCCAGCGCCCCCGGCGGRAGGAUGGGUUCCCGGCCCCAGGGCCGGAGCCCCGCACUCCCGGGGCGUCUCAUUCUCGAUCCGAGUCGAGACGCACCAGGAGCGCUCACGCUGGAACCCGAAAGAUGGUGAACUAUGCCUGGCCAGGACGAAGCCAGGGGAAACCCUGGUGGAGGUCCGAAGCGAUUCUGACGUGCAAAUCGAUCGUCUGAGCUGGGUAUAGGGGCGAUAGACCAAUCGAACCAUCUAGUAGCUGGUUCCCUCUGAAGUUUCCCUCAGGAUAGCUGGCUCUCGGGAAGAGACGAGUCUCAUCCGGUAGAGCGAAUGAUUAGAGGUGAUGGGGUCGAAACGACUUCAACCUAUUCUCAAACUCCCAAUAGAUGAGAGCCCCGGCUUGCUUGAAAGUGAAGCCGCCGGGAUUCGGAUCGGAGAGGCCAAGUGGGCCAAU
rnacentral:rRNA from 1 species